GCCAGUCUGAACUAGAAUUGCCAUUGAACUUACCAUAGAUUGAAAUUUUGUGACACCAUCGAACUUUCCAAUGUCAAACCUUGUUGCUUCCAUGUCUGAAUGGGCUGAUCUAUGAAAAUUAAACUAGCUCUUGGCACCACUUUUUGGGAAUUGACCCGAUUAAGCAACAAACAAGUAAAAAUAAUGGAAGAAAUUGAGAAAUAGAGCACACAAAUUUAAC
rnacentral:lncRNA from 1 species